ACAAAUCACGCAGACUACGCAGAAGAAAAAAAAGAGUACAAAGACUCUUUCUUUUUUCUUUUUCAGUUCCAGUUUGGUUGAAAUGGGAAUUUUUGGGAGAGGGAAAGAUGGUCAAUUUUUCUAGUUUGAGCUGAUUGUUGUGUUUUCUGCUGAGUUGGGGUUCAAGAAAUGAAUUUGAUUUCAUUGGAUACCAACACAAGUUGCGGCUGUGAUUAAUCAUCCCCAAUUUUAGUCUUCUUUUUUGGGUAUCACCCAAUGGACGCCGUGAAUCUUCCAAUCGUUUUCCCCCAAAAUCAACGCCGUGAAUCGUUGAAUCGCGAUCGCAGUGAUGGCCCUGCACCAGGCAGAGAGAAGGCGCAGAUAGAGUCAGACGAUUUCGAGGUUAGGACGGUUAUGAUUUCUCUUAAACCUAAUGGAUUUGUAAAAAGGUUUCCGAUGAGAGAUCUUGGUCCCUGACCUUCGAUGUUUGUUGAAAUCGUGAGCCGAUAAUCCUCUCCUCGCAGACGUUUGUUUCAAGUCUGAACGAGAUCUGGAUCUUGACUUUUGUUGUGGAAACUUACUUUGCUUGGUGCUGUGAGGUUGUGGAAAGGCUGAUUUAAGUGUUUUAUUUACUUUUUAGCAUAGACGCUGAUUUUGCAUGCGUUUACUAAAUCUGUGAAUCUGUGGUUAGAUUGGAGAUCAAAAACUUAUUGGGUGUUUGUGGCCAUUAAUUAAAAUGAUCUUCUUUGAAUAGAGAAUUAAAAAGGAUUAGAGGAGACAAUGAGGAUGUUGCACCAAAUUUUAAUGCAUGCUGUAUACUUAACAUCUUUGCGGUUGAUGAACUUGCUUCUAUACCAGCCUUUAAUUGAAGUAUGUUUUUCAGUUUUUCUUGUGGAGGUUUUCUCUCUUUCCCCGCCUUUUUGUUCUUAUGUUAUCUCCCAUUUGUUUUCAUCUUCCUCCAGUACUAAAAUUUUUAUAAGUACAACAUAUUUUAAAAAUCUGAAAAAAAAUCGUCGAUGAAAUGUUAACAUCGUCUUGUGAUGACAUUAACAUUAUCAUUUUGCUGCUGACUUUCAUUUUUAGGCAAGUUUCUUCAUCUAAUUAAUGAGUGACCAAUAUUGAGACUGUGGCCAUCUUUUAAACUUGAGGAGCCUUCGAGACCAAAAGUGGAAAAUCUUGGAACAGUCAACUGAAGAGGCCAGUCUUUUUGAUUUGAAAAAAUGAAGUAAUUGUUACCUUUUGAAGAUUUUAUUGUUCCUUGUUCUGCAUAAUCUGAAUGUUGUCCACCAAUAUUCUAGGAAUAAAUGAGAUAUAAAAUUCUGUUCAAAAGAAGAAAUGAAAUAGAAAUUGAUAGAUAUGUUAAUUCUGCUACAAACCAAUGUAAAACUGUACUGAUUAACUGAGGACAUCACUGGACUACAGUUGAUGUUAAGAAGAAUGGUGUGAAUGCUACAUUCUGGAAGUGUUUCCAUUUUUCUGGAAAGCCCUGAGCUGAAUUGGUUAUGCUCUCUCAUAGAAGUCAUUGACAUUGGUCGAUUGUUCUGUAACUUCUGUUCAACCGGAAAGCGAUUGUAGUGCUCACCAGUUGUAGUUUGCAGAUCCAAUGGCCAUUAGUUCAGCCUAAUAUAAGACCAUGGGUAAUUUUUGAAAAAUGAAAGAGCUCCAAGGUUAGUAAUCUUUUUCCCUGAUUUUAAACACAUUACUGUAUGUGUUUAAAUCCUUUGAAGUUUUUUCUUGUGCAGUGGUAGGAUUGGUGGAUGAAGGAUAAGAAACUUCGUUUUGUUGCAUGUAGUUUUUCGAACUAUUUUUGGCAUAGUGAAUUAUUAUAUAUCAUGACAUUGUGCAAUGCUGACUUUUUUAAUUUGGUGGUUGAAAAUUGAGUGCAUCUAACUGGCAACUUGCUGCGGGCUUGUACAAGAUAGAAUUUUCUUUUUAUCUUCUUGUCAUUGUCAUUGUUGGUUCAACAAUGUAUGGUUGAAUUUAUUCUUCUUUCUGGGUGUUAUAAACAAUGAAUUUGGUCUUGUAAAAAGGUCUAUUGAAGGUACUAAUGUCAUUAAUCUUGCCUAUUUUAGUGCAUACUUUCAAUUGUAGCUAUUUACUUCCACUUUUUUCUUAUAAAUUUUAAUACUUUGUGCCUUUUAUUGCUUCUCUGCCGCAGUUAUUUGUAAAGUAUAUGAUUUCGAUGGAAAUGGGUAGGUGUCAUUCAAUGGCAUAUUAGAGGAAGACUUGUCUGGUCUAUUCAUGUCUGAUGAGCAAAGAGAGGUACUACUAUCAAGGACAUGCACAUUCUAUCCCUUCCUUGUCAUCAAAUACUGCUAUUGUAAUUUCGUUUAAAACUUGAUUUGAUAUGUGUCUACAUUGUAAGAUGUGUCCCUUAUGAAUUAUCAUGAAGGUGACCUCACUUUAAAAUUUAUUGGGAAAUAAAGAAGGCUGGCCCUUCAUCAAAUACUUGCAUGACUUUUCUAAUAUAACAUGCUGACGGUAAUAUAUAUUGAAGUAUUAUUCUCA